rnacentral:rRNA from 1 species
GACGAACGCUGGCGGCGUGCCUAACACAUGCAAGUCAAGGCGGUAGCAAUACCGACUGGCGCACGGGUGCGGAACACGUAGGUAAUCUGCCCUUUAGGGGGAGAACAACUCAUCGAAAGGUGAGCUAAAUCUCCGUAAUGUUUUACUAUGGCAUCAUAGUUCAACCAAGUUUUCUAAGGGAUGAGCCUGCGUCUGAUUAGCUAGUUGGUGAGGUAACGGCUCACCAAGGCACGAUCAGUAGCUGGUCUGAGAGGAUGAUCAGCCACAUUGGGACUGAGACACGGCCCAGACUCCGUACGGGAGGCAGCAGUGAGGAAUAUUGCUCAAGUGGAACGAAAGUCUAGAA